UGUUUGAUCUCAUUCAUUUCCAGUAAAGACCAAUGACUUCCAGAUUUACAUCUCCAGGCUAUUCCCUCCCCAGAAUCUCAGACCUAUUUUUGCAUUCCCAUCAGAAAUAUAGGGGAGUGUUUUGUUUCCCAAUGCCCUUCCCAACAUAACCUAUGACAUACUUUUAAAUGUUCACUGAUAUGAUAGUUGAGAAGUAAUAUCUCAAUGGCAUUUUAUUUUGCCUUAUCUGUGUUUAAGGACAAUUUAAAUAUCUUUCUUUGUGAAUUGUCGGUUCAUGUCUUUUCCACAUUUUUCUAGUGGGUUGUUGGUCCUUCUCACCUCAAUUUUCAAGUUUUCUUAAUACAUUAACUGUUAUAUAUGUUGCAAUUUUCUCUCCAGUUUGUCAGUUGCUUUUUGGCUUUGUUUAUGGUGUUUUUCUGCCAUGCAUUAAAAAAAGUAGUCAAAUUUAUUUAACUUUUAUUGCCUCUAGAUUUCGAUUCAUAGUUAAGAAAUCUUUUCCUACAUAAGGUCCAAGAAGCAUUCACCCAUGUUUUCUUCUAGUAUUCAUAUGGUUUUCUUUACAUUUAGAGUUUAUAUUUGUGUAUGGCAUAAAGUAUUGAUGGAUCUUUUGUUUUCUUUUUCCAAUCGGUUUCUCAGUUGUUCUGGCAUCAGAAAGUCCAUCUUUGCUUUAGGGAUUUGAGAUACCACCUUUAUUACAUAUCAAAUAUCCAUAUGUACUUGGAAAACCUUCUGGGCUUUUUAUUCUAUUUCAUUGGUCUGUUUGCUAUCCAUAUACCAGUUGAAUUAUAGAGGAUAUAUAAUUUCAUAUAUCUGGUAGAGCUAGGUCCCCUCAGUAGAUUCUCUUUUUUCCAACACAUUCUUGUAUGUUUGUUUUUCUACAUGAACUUCAGCAUAAAUUUGAUUCAGAUCCGUUUUAAUUAACGAUUAGAUAUAUCCACCUGAAUGUCCCUGAAGGACCUCAAAUGCAAUAUGUCCCAAGUGAUUUUACCAUCCUUCCUUGAUCUUUUCCACACACAAAACUCCCUCCUCUUCAUUUCUCUUAUCUUAAUAGAUGGCUCCAGAACCCACACUGUUGCCCAAGCAAGAAAUCUGGGAAUCAUCCCUCAUUCCCUCUUCCUCCCUCCCACCAAGUAAUCUUGACCUUCUCUUCUAAAUAUCUGGAUUUUCCCACUUUUCUUCCAUCUCCACUCUUGCUACAUUUUUUUAGGCAAACAACUCCCCACUCCUGGUCUAUGGUGGAAGAUCCCUUUCUGGUUUUGCUACCUCAAGUCUUGCUCUCCUUAAUAUAUAUCAUAUUGUCCCACUGCCUUUUUCUGUUUCAUCUUCAUUACAGUACUUGAAGUAGGUAGGUCACUAAUUACCUCUUAUAUAGAAACCACUCCACAGGCCAGGUUAAAAAGGGCCUUGGUCUUUAGCCUGAUUAUUUUCAGAUCAACUUUUAGCAGUUAUUGAAGAUCUAAAGUAAAUUCUGAAUUUUGAAAUAAUUGAAAAGAAAUGUGCCUGUUGGAUAAUUAGACAGUUAGGAUGCCAGAUUCCUGGAUGGGAUGAUUCAGUCUUGUAAAGCUGUGAAUUUUAUCACUCCUGCCCCCAACCCUGCCGGCAUUUGGAAGUUUGGUAGAUUUUCCUUCAAAGGUCUCUUGAAAAAAAUCAAAUGGAAAAGGAUAGGCAAGAAAUUAAUAAAAGUCACAAUAAAGGGGUUCUAGUUGUUUAACAUAUGAGAGCUCGUAAUAAUCCAAGCAGUAUGGCACAGGUCCAAAAAUAGAAAUUUAGCAAAGAAAAGACAAGAAUGCUCUUCUACACACCUAGGUUUUAAUGAGCUUUUAAUAUACAGAUUAGAUGGCAUUUCAACCUAGUGCAAAAGCUGGGCUAGGCUUUAGUGAGUACAAUACAUUGAAUUUUUGCUCUAACUAAAUUCAUAUGAACACCACAACCCAGGUGUCUAAACCCAAGAGAGAUUAUUUCAUGUUUAUUAUCAUCCUCAUCAACAGGUGUUGUUGAAUUCCUUUAUGUGCAUGACAUCACAUGGUCACCAUAUAACAUAUACUAUAGCAACCAGUCUAAUUACUUACUGUGGAGAUCAAGAGCUAAAAUACCAGCUUUGUCACUUCUUAGUUGUGUCAACCUAGAAAAGUUACUAAAAUUCUGUGAACUUUAGUUUUCUCUUCUAGAAAAUGGGAGUAAGAUUUUCUGUAUCAGGAUUAUUGUGAAUUAUAAAUAACAAUUGCUAUAUAAAGUGUUUAACACAUAGUAGACCUUCAAUAAAUAGUUCCUUCAACCUCCCAUAAAAGACAUGAUUUUGCAAUAAAAAUUUGCAUAGCUGGCUGGGCACGGUGGCUCACGCCUGUAAUCCCAGCACUUUGGGAGGCCGAGGCGGGUAGAUUAUGAGGUCAGGAGAUCGAGACCAUCCUGGCUAACAUGGUGAAACCCUGUCUCUACUAAAAAUACAAAAAAUUAGCCGGGCAUGGUGGUGGGCGCCUGUAGUCCCAGCUACUCUGGAGGCUGAGGCAGGAGAAUGGCAUGAACUCAGGAGGUGGAGCUUGCAGUGAACCGAGAUCGCGCCACUGCACUCCAGCCUUGGUGACAGAGCGAGACUCUGUCUCAAAAAAAAAAAAAAAUUGCAUAGCUAUCAGAGGCAUCAUUUGGAAAUAUAAUAAGAGGAACUAUAUAUACUAUAUGAGCUUCAGUGAUAUCAGAUCAAUAGAUUAUGAGAUGGAAAAAAACACUGCACUAUCAGCUGCUCUUCUGCCCCAUUAUUUUAACUUCUAGAUAAACAUCUGGGAAGCACAGGUAUAUGAGGCACAGAAACACAAGGCACUGUGGAUGCCUCUUCUGUCUGGACAGAAAACUGGAGUCAGGAGACCUCUCUGAGUCCCCAGAGACAGAAUCAUCACUACUGUGUGUCCUUGGGUAAGUCACUCCUAAUGUGCUGACAUCACCUCUGUAACACACCAAGAUCUUCACAUCUUGGGCACUCAACAAAAGGCAAUCAUAAUUAUUUCUUGUAUAUCUACUGGGGUAUGUCAGGAUGAGGGAGACAAAGGCCAACCACAAGGAAACAAUACUUUCCUCUAGAGACCUUUGGGAACCUCACUAUUAACUGAGUGCCUGGAUGUGCCCUACACGGGGAUAGCUGCUUUAUGUGGGACAGUGGGAUAUCCCAAGUACCCUCUCAACAGCCUGUGAGUAAAGAGUCUUUGCCCCAUUAGAUGAAUGAGAAACCCAAGGCUCAGAGAGAUUUAAGUAAACUGUUCAAGGUUACACAAGCUGGUUACUGCCAAGCCUGAGAACCAACCUAGGUCUUAGAAUGAGGACUACUAUCUCAAUGUGUCCCUAUGUUAUCUCCCAUUUUCUCUACUCAACUUCCUUCCCUGUGAUCACUGAUGAGUCAAUAAUUAUUUCUCAGGGACCUACCGAUGUCUAACACUUUACUGUGUUCUUUAAGAGAAAAGGGCUAGGUAUCAGAGGAGGAAGAUCUUUCACCUUGGUGAAUGAUAUGCUCUCUGGGUAGGCAGAGAGCCUCUUCACAUGAGGCCACUUGAAGAAAGAGCUAAAGGAAAAGUCACUAGGCCAGUGACUUUGGGCCACUGUCAAUGGGCCAAUAGGAGCUCAGAGAAGGCAAUGGCCAGGUUUGCUGGAAAUAGACAGAGAAAGCUUCAAGGAGGAAAAGGACCUUGACUUGGGCCUCAGAUGAUAGGCGGGACCUACAAGGAGGUAGGGAGGGAAAACUCAGCUGUUUGACUAUAGUUCCUGGUCUUACAUUAAUUAUACUGGCCUAUCUUUAUUAAAUGGUCAGGUUGCCCCAACUUGAAAUCAAGGUCUCAUCUGAUUUGUCCCUCUCCCACAGACAAAGCUCUCCUUCCUGCUUCGCUGUAUCUCCUGAAUCUGUCACUACCUUAGAGCUUCACCAUUUCUCAUUUGAACUCUUAGAAUAAUCUCUUCUCUAGUUUUCCUGCUUCCAGCCCUGCCCCUUCCUUAAGAUAAAUCUUGUACAUUACCAUCAAAUUAAACUUUACUCUUCCCUGCUUUUAACUGCCAUUCUCCUGCUUGAAGGCGCUGACGGUAAACCUACCACCCACAGAGUAAAUUCUGCACUCUUCAUCCUGACAUUCAGCAUCCAUCAGAAUUGAGCCCCAGGACACACAUUCUCAACCUAGUCAUGCACUUCUCUGCCCUCACUCAAUGUGCCCCAAGUAUGCCUUAUUCUUCCCUCUCAUUGUCCUUAUGUGUCAUUUACUUCCUGCCAACUGCCUUCUUAUUCCCCCUAGAGGUCCUAGUCCUGCCCAUUCUUAGAGGCCAACCCUCAUCACUCAGCCUCUGAAGCCACCCUAGCUGGAAGUGAUCUUUCCUUCCCCUGUUGCACAGGGUCUCUACCUUUCAUGUUGCCCUUAACAAAGGUUUUUGUACCAUAUAUCCUUGUACCUUUCCACGUUUGUGUGUGUGUGUGUGUGUGUGUGUGCACGUGUGCACUGGGAGAAAUAGUGGUAGCUCAUCAGGGAGGUGGUCAGAUGUGGGACAUCAGAUAUGAUCUUGUCUUCUAUGGUCCCUAUGCUGAUACAUGGUGAUUUGCUCAGAAAAUCUCAGUCUCCGAAGAAGCUGUUUUCCAAUUGGCUCAUAGCUGAACCUGCUUUCUGUGUUCACAAAGGUUGGAGUAGAGGUUUAACUCCUCUUCUGUUUAAUGGGCUUUUGAUAUAAAAAGAAAUUAAUCACAUUCUGAAAGAAGAGCCAUCCCUGAACUCUCAAGUCUAGAUCCCUUAUCUGUUCUUUUAGCACCUUUAUUUCCCCAUUGUUAACACUCAUUAGGUUUUGUAAUUGGCUCUUUCCAUUUCUGUAUCCCCCUAUAAGCCCCCUAAAGAUGGAGACUGUGCCAUAUUCAUCUUUGCAUCCUCUUGCAUGAUUAUUCAAAUAUCCCAUUGAUGAAAACAGGUAUAUAUAUGUGUGUGUGUGUGUGUGUGUGUGUGUGUGUGUGUGUGUGUGUGUGUAUAUGUAUAUAUGUGUGUGUGUGUGUGUAUCUGCUUCUGGUAAUGGCGGACUAGAUGAUUUAGAGCAACCCACCCAUUGAAAAGAACUACAAAACGUCAGAUCUCUAAAAGGCUACAAAAUUAAUACAAUUGUGAGGAAUUGCUAGGUUAUACUACAAGAGAACAGAAGCAUCCAGAGAGGUAAGCCUAGGACUUAAAACUAUAUUUUUAUUGAAGGUAUCUGUGGUUGAGUAAUAAGCCUGUGCUAAACUGCGUGGAACUUAUGGCACAUUCAAGGCACUAUAGUAACAGAAGUCAGAGCCCAAGGCCCAUCAAAAGGGGUGGAGUGUUUCCUGACAAACCAUCACCCAUAGUAUGCUGGGAACCGCAAAUGUUUAUACCUUCAGGGUAAUUGUAAUCAAAAAAUAUACUAGCCCUUACAAAGUCUUGUAGCUUGGCUUUGCAUCAUCUGGGUGGACUAGUGAACUGUAAGUUCUGAACAAAUAUUAUGGUGGUAACAAACAGGAAGCAUUUUUUUUUUUUUUUUUUUUUUUUUUUUUUUUUAGACAGAGUCUCACUCUGUUGCCCAGGCUGGAGUGCAAUGGCGCAAUCUCAGCUCACUGCAACUUCCAUCUCCCAGGUUCAAGCAAUUCUUAUGCUUCAGCCUCCUGAGUAGCUGGGAUUACAGGCAUGCACCACCACGCCUGGCUAAUAUUUUUGUAUUUUUAGUAGAGACAGGGUUUCGCCAUGUUGUUCAGGCUGGUCUCAAACUCCUGACCUUGUGAUCCACCCACCUUGGCCUCCCAAAGUGCUGGGAUUACAGGCGUGAGCCACCGCACCUGGCCAGGAGGCACUCUUAUGGGCCUGACCAAUGCAAAUAAAAUCUUCUCUAGAGUAAGAUUUUUAUCAUCUUAGGCCUUAGAUUAUUACAACAAUUGCUGAAAUACAAUAUCCACACACAAAGAUAACCAGGUGCACGAAAAAAAUACGUUAUGAGUAACAAAUAGAAACAA
rnacentral:lncRNA from 10 species